GUUAGGCACCAGUCAAACGUAAUCUAAUCGGAGGUGUGUCGGUUUUUGGUUCGGGACUUCAGUUCCCAGAAUUCCUCCGCAGGGACAUGGAAGAUGCUUUCUGCAACAGAAAAGGCAGGCAGGAGAAUCAGAUGCUACUGCCUUAAGAUAUCCAAGCACAGCAGAGCAGAAGCAAGUUUUCAGCAAGCACCACAACUGCUAAUCCUUCCUCAGAUUCUCCAGGCAAGAAUCUGGAUCUCGAAAAUUCAUCAGUUUGACUCAAUGCCAUCUUAAAACAUUGUACCCCUCUCCCCCAACCUAUCUUUCUCUCCCCACAUGCAAAUUCAUUCAAGCCAUUUCUCUGCGUUUCUCCCUCUGUGGAGGAUGCUGCCUCCCAAAGGCUGGAGAGAGAGUCUAGAACGUUAAAUAAACCAUUUUCAGUCAUUAAAUCAGCAUUAUUUUUGUGUCACUAAAAUACUUGAUAAAAGGCCCAAUAAUCCAGAUGACCAAACCAUAAUAAUACGCACAGUUAUGGGGAGGCUUGUAUAUUUCCCCAUGUCCUCUUUGAAGGUUAUUCCCAAACAAGAGAAACAUUCUAGUACAUUUUCUCUAAGGUUUAUAUUUGGCUUUCUACCUAAAACAAGCUGGUACGUCAUUAUGGGAAUCAAUCCAUAUAUGUAAU